rnacentral:misc_RNA from 1 species
UCCCCCUGUCGCCUGGUACGGAAGGGGAUCCACCUGCGCCCCCUGCCAACUUCUCGGGAAGGUAAAAAUCGGUAUGUUUGGUCGUCGGUGUGGAAUGUGAAUUCUUCGAUGUUCAUCGUUUGGAAGUCUCCAGAUUCUGGAUGUCGUCGCCGCCAUGGCAGAAAGGAAUUCCAAAGGCUCCAAGAGCACGCCGCCAGCCUGUCGACUCUUCCAUCUCAGUUCUCAGAUCUGCUCAUCAUCAUCAUCGUCAUCAUUCACUCCUUUCUCCUUUGUCAGGUUAGUACUGGCGCUCCCGAC